UUUAUAUAUUUAUUAAAAUCCUAAAUUUUACAUUCCAAAUACCCUAUCACACCCCUCAACUCUAACGCUAAGUUUAAAUUAGUUAACCAUAUGGGUAUAAAUAUCUUUUACCUUUCAUUAAAAAUAAUGGUAAAAAUGCUUAGUGUAAACAUGAAAAGUGGUAUUAUGAAUAUGAUAUUUAUGAGAAUUUCCCAAUAUAUUUAUAGUUUAGUUCAUUUUUAUUGUUGAUAAUAAUUAACAUGUAACAAACAAUAAUAUAUAUCUAUUAUAUAUAAGAAAUUUUAUUUCUAGAUAUUUAGUUAACAUAUUUUAUAUUUUCACAUUUACUAUAAAAUGAUGAUUAAUUAAUUAAUUUAAAUAGUUAGUUGCAUUUGUCUUGCAUUAUUGGUUUGAUAUGUAUGUGUUCUGCAUUUUAUGUUGGUUCUGCGUACCAUUAUUGAUUUGCAUUUUAUCUUGUGAGUUACCGUCUCUAAUUCUCUAUUUACAUAUAUCUUAAACUAAAGGGUGUCUUAGAGCAUCUUCAAUUUAUUAUUCUAUUUUUUAUUCUAAAAUGGUGCAACACAUAAAUAGAAUUAGAUUUUACUCUUAUGUGUUACUCUAUUUUUUUAAAUAAUUACUAAUACUUUCCACUUAUGAAAAUUACCAAUUAACCCAACUAUCUUAUGUUUAUAAAAUAUCUCUUAUGUUUAUAAAAGAUCUACUACGUUUAAAAAAUAUCCACAAAAAUAUAUAUUUAUUUACAUUAAAGAUUUAUUAUUAAAAAUACAGUAAAACACAAAAUAUAUAUAUAAAAUAGCAUAUUUUGGUUCAAUAAUGAAUAUUAAAAUAUUUGUUCUCACAAAUGCUCAACUAAUGCAUUUCAUCAUGAAUAAUGAGUUUAUUUAUCUAUGAUUUUCUUAAAUUGAGCAACAAAAAAACUAAAUUGGACAUUUCAUCGUUUGAGCAAUACUUCACCAAUCAUGGCUAUUCCAAAAAUGAUUUACCGGAUUAUUAAAUAACUUAUUUUAUAUUUUUUACGUUUAGGUUGGUAUUUUUAAUUAGCUUAUACAUCUAUAUGUAAGAGUAUUAAAUAAUCUCUUGUGGAGUAUCAUAUUUCUUUUCAUGUUAUUAUAUUAUUUUAAGUAUUAUUUAAGUAUCAAAUAAAAACACUUAAAUUUAAAAGAGCAUCGUAUAAAUAAAUAAAAAAUCUAUCUCCAAAAUGGAAUAGGGUUGGAACAUAUUCUAUUCCAAAAUAAAUUUGAAUCAGAAAAUAUGACAUUUUUUCAAAUUUUUUUGUUAUUGUAUCUAGCAUUUAUAAAUUCUAUAUGAAAUCCAAACUUAUUGGAUUAGUCAUUUGUAUAAAUUCUCUUAAAUUCAAACUUAUUGAAAAAAAUAUGGAUAUUGUCAAGAAAAUCCAUGAAAUGGAAUUUGGUAGGAUUUGGAUGAUAUUUUAUAGUGAAAAUAUCACAUCCUAUGAUGGUAUUUGAAACUUUUCUAAAAGUAAAAAAAAAAAAUCAAAUUGUUUGAAAUGAAAAAAAAAUAUUUAUUUGAAAAUCGAUCCUUAAAAUAUUUUAAUUUUUUAUAUAUCUCAUAAAUGAUAAAAUAGCACAUUAUAGUAAUUUAAAAAUAAAAUAUUAAUUGACAUAAAUAUUUAAAAAUUUAAGAGAAAUUUAAAAAAUCUGAAGUUUCUUCAAAAAAACAUAUAAUUUGUAACAAAUUCUAUUAAGAUUUACUUAAAUCUCAGAACUUUUUUUAUUUACUAUCUUGAAUUCUUUCAAAUCCUUAAUUCAAUAGCCCCUAAACUUUACAUCAAAAAAAAAAAAAAAAGCCCCUAACUUCAAACAUGCACACAUAUGGUGACUAAAUCAUUUAUUUUAUUAACAUGUAGGCACGUUCGUGUUGCUUGUAACCAACGUACCAAAAGUAGAGAGUCGUAGCAUAUUACCAGUCUGCGGAAAUAAAGAAGGAUGCGAUGGCAUAGGUGUAGUGACAACAACAGACAGGAAAAGUAACGUGUCAGACGUGGAUUUGUGACAUUUUUUUAACUACAAAAAUUAUUGUAGAAAGAUUGUUAUUUGUGUUUCAGAAAAAAAAAGAUUGUUAGUAUUUGUAAAGGAUAACAGUCAUACCGUAACUGGCUGUUGGAAAACAGUGGAUUGCACAAAUAGAUUAGGCUUAUCGCUAAUUUUUUAUAAGCUUUUAGGAAAAUGUAAUGCAUUAAUGGAAUAAGCUAACUUUAGGGAAAUUCUAUUUUCUAGAUCUGUAAUCGACGUAGGCAGAAGAUGCUUUGCUAUUGACCUAUUGUGCUAACACAAUUAUUGGCCAACAACGAUAGUUUUUGUUGUUGUUAUGAAUGCAACUACAAACAACAACAAGGCGAAAUAUUUAUAAAUUACUCGAAACAGUAUCGUCCACUAAUAUCCUUUUUAUUAAUAUGGACAUGAAAUUAUUUACUCUCGUUUUAUAUAUCUUUUUCUUUGUCAUCAAAAUAAAAUCUUAUCAGCAAAGUAAAUAAUUGUGAUAUCAAAUGAAAAUUGUAUAUUUAAACGAUAUGAAUUGUAUAACAAAUAUGAUAUAAAAAGCAACCAAAAAUGGAAAAAGUAUCAUCCUUCUUCCGGCUAAUUAACUAAUCUCAACAAUAUGUACUUAUGUAUCAAUUAAUUGUGAUUGGUUAGUCAAAAUAAGGAUGAUUACUUAUUUAAUAUUAUUAAAUAUUAGAUGAACCUUAUAACCAUUUCUAGAUGUUUUCUAACAUUUGUUCUUAUCACUUUAUCUAUUUCUUCACUUCAUUCCUAUAAAAUGUGAUUUAUUUCUUUUAUACUUAAAAAGAACAAGAUCAUAUAAAAUAACUAAUGAACUAAAAUAGAAAAUGAAAGAUUGGUAGAGAAUGAAGUGUCGAUAUUUUAUUUGAUAUACAUUGCUAUCUUUUUCUUUAUAUUCUUUUCUCUUAUUAUAUGUGAAAUAACAAUUUAAACCAUAUGGGUUAUAAGUUACAAGUACAAUAAUAUGGGCUGAAUUCUUUACUUAAUGCAAAAGUCUACAAUUUGGGUGAUUAUUAUAAAAAUUAUUGAUAGCAAAUUCCGAAAGAAAAAAGGGACACUAUAAAUAGCGAAGUUAUUGAUAUGUGAUUUUGAUGUAUACUUAAUCACAAGAAAAUGGCGUCAAAAGCAAUUUCCAUGUUCCUCCUUUCGCUCGUUCUUCUUUAUGCAUCGUUGGCAAACAUACCGACCGCAAAGACCGCAAAAGCUCAGUCUUUUAUGUUUGACCCAUGCAAGAUAUCAGAAGAAUGUGAUGCCGCCAAUUGCGCAAGCGGGGAAGCUCUAUGCAUAAGGGAACAAUGCCAUUGCAUCAGUUCAUCAAAUCAUCUUGCGAAACUUAACAAACUAAGUGAUUUAAAUCCAUGCAAGGUGAAGAGUGAUAUAUAGAUAUAGUGAUUAUCAUUCUCUUAUGCUGUUGAAAUGUCCCUUAGUGUCUUAUUUGUGUUUUGAUGGCCUUUGUUCUAUAUACUAUAAACAUUCUUAGAUCUUAGGAGGAAUUUGUCAUCUUGCAAUAAUGGCAAAGAGAUUCAGAUAGGAUUGUGUUUUGUUUAAAAUGGAAGACUUAGCAUCUAUGAGAAUUGAUAUUUAAGACAGCAAGUACCUAGCUAUGUUGCCAAGUGGAUAUACAGAAUACAUUCAGAGGAUACAUUUAUAACUUUGCUAAAUUACAGAUUAACAUUACUAGACUACACACACAUCCAAUUAUCCAAUAUCAAAAUUGUGCAUGGUACCAGAUUUAGCUUAUAUCAAAAAAACAUUUAGAAUAUAUAACAAACUCAGUUUUUUAUACAACUGAAGAAUUUUAUUUUUAUUUUAACACGAUUCUUCCAUUUUAUCUUCCCAAUGGGGACAUCAUUAGUCCAUGAAACUGAUGAAAUAGAUGCCAAUUAUAUUUUGUAUUAAAAGUCUUUAAAAAACAGUCAUUAGUCAAACAUAACAAAAUCUUGUUUUGACUAAAUUUUUUUUCACUUUUUCUUUAGUACAAAACUCCAAAAGUGAGCUUAUUUUACAACGUGUCCAAAAGCUAUAAAAUCAUUUCAAAAAAUAAAUAGUUCACUUAAAACUGAAUUUCAAACGAAAUACACCAAGGUUUUUUUUUUUUUGAACAAACACACCAAAGUUUAAAGGGGUGAAUUGAGGUCAAUUGAGAUUUCUUUUUUUUUUUCUUUUUUUUCUUCUUCCAGCUUAUUUGUUUCAUCGUUUAAUAAAGAAAUUACUUAAAAUGAGGUUAGACAGAAGAUUCAUUCGGGUUAUGAAGUCAAGGUUCGGGAAAAUCUGUGGGUCCUAACGACUCCCGCGAGACCAGCUGUCCCAGUGGCGCCAGUUAUAAAUCCCAAUAUGAGAGUGAGUGAUUUCAUUAAUCAGGAGUCGAAGGAUUGGGAUAUGAGCUUAUUGGAGAGUUAUGUCAAUAUGGAUGACAUCCCACUUAUAAGGAGUUUGGCUAUAAGCUCAGCUCACCGCCGAGACACCUUUUGUUAGAACUACACAAGGAAUGGACAAUACACGGUCAAAUCAAGAUACUGGGUAGCUAGGAAUCUAUUAAAACCAGAGGUGGAAAAGGAGGUCAUGGAGCCAAGUAUUACCGAACUCCAAGCCUUUGCUUGGAAGUUAAAGGUGCCUAAGAAGAUAUGCCAUCUUAUAUGGCAAUUGUUAACUGGCCAUGUGUUAGUUACAAGGAACUUAGCACGACGAAAUAUGAGGUGUGAUAACUACUGUCCAAGGUGUGGAGAACUAGAUGAGUCUGUGACACACGCGAUUUUUGAGUGCCCGCCAGCUCUACAAGUUUGGUCUUUAUCAUCAACUCCAACGAGCCCAGGGAUAUUCCCAGUCCCGAGCAUCUACACAAAUAUGGACUAUCUAUUCUGGAGGAAAACGCUAUCAUUGAGCCAGAACAAGACAUGGAUCCUUAUCCCUGGUUAAUUUGGUACAUUUGGAAGGCCAUGAAUGAUAAACUAUUUAGGGGGAUAGACAGAGAUCCUUUUGAGCUAGUCCGAUAUGCAGAAAGCGAAUGUCAAGCAUGGUUUGAGGCAAACAAGGUGGUACAACCAGUGGUACAAGACAUUAAUGCUGAGGAAUCCCAAGUCAUAAGCUUGGGUAAUAUUUGGUUGUUAGAUGGAUCUUGGACAGCUUCUGCUCAUUUUAGUGGAUGUGGAUGGGUUUAGAUUACCUUGUUUGCCUCAAACCAUUCAACUUAUGGGGACAAGGAACUUCAUUCGACGGGAAUCAGCUUUGCAUUCAGAAGUAGAAGCACUGCAGUGGGCAAUAGAGAACAUGCUUCAACAUUCGACAUGCCAGAGCUUUGGAACAAAUUGCAAGGAACUGAUUGCAAUGAUAAAGGAUCCUCAUGCUUGGCCAAGCUUUGCGAUGGAGUUGGAGAGGAUUGAGACGCUUCAGAUUUGUUUCCCGGACUUCAACAUCAUUUAUGUUCCACGAGCGCGCAAUCAGACUUCAGAUUUUUUUAGCUAAGACGCUAGAUCCUUCCAUAGGGAGUUUUUUUUAUUGGUUGUUCUAUCCCGGUCUUGUCACCCAGACCACCUCAAGAUUGAGUAAUAGAAUGGCCUUUUGACGUCAAAAAAAAAAAACGAAAUACACCAAUCUAUACUGAAAUUAAUUUAUCUUUUAUGAAACCUAAAAAUAGUGUCUCAGCGGGUCGGAUCCGUCCUGCUUGACCCGCCCUGUGGAGGGUUGAUGGUUUUGUUUUGAAUAUCCAGAUAUAACGGUUACAUUUGAAAAGGAAGAAGUAUAAUUUUUUCUUCUUUUCUUUGCAAUUUUUAAUAUAAAGAAGAGAAUUCUCUCCUUAGAAGCUGCCACGUCAGAAAAGGGGUUCUUCUCGCAGUGACAUGUGUCUUUUUCAGUCAAGCCGCUGCGUUUCAUUAUGUGCAGUUUGUUUGAGAUAUUGUUCUGGUCCAGCUUCGUUUUAACUUCUUCGAGCCCAGCCCCUUUAUCAUCUCCACUAGGUGAAACGCCGCGCUGUCGUUUAGGGUUCCACCAAUGUUCUUCUUCUUCGCCUCUCCAAAGCUCAUGGCGAUUUCGGAUUCGCAAGCGAUCUUUCAUCUUCUUCAUCACAGAACGAAAGGAUACCAGUUACCGAAUAAUCCUUUUUAAACCUCCAUUAAUCUAUCUACAAUGCUCUAUAUUCAAUGUGAGCUCUGAUUCUGCAAGGCGGUGGAGGUUCUACUAUAAAAAGGUGAGCUUUCCUACUUUGAGAAUCAUCUCCUCAUUCGUUCUAAACUAAAGAUUAAAACUAAUUCUGUGAGCUGUGGCUAACGUUUCGGUUUUCCUCUCUGAUUUGCAGACGGGCAACUCAUCCUCCACUGUUCAAGUCCGGUUGUUCCAUCUCUGGAAAGCCAGGAAUGUCCGCCGUGGUGUGAGAUCAUGAGAGUGGAUAUGCUCCUACUGGAUUCUCAUGUCUCUUCUUUAACUCCGCCUAUAGUUUAUGAGCAGAUUUAUUUCACCGGUUUAAUGCUUUAGACAUUUCCAUUCUUAAAUUUCAUGAUCAUAUUAGUUUUCAAUUAUUUCCAGCGUUCACAUUCAUAUAUAGAUCUUCAUUGAACAUCUUUUGAAUGAGAUAUUUUAAACCCGUUUGUUGAAUCCCUUAUUUUCACGUUUGUUGAAUCAAAACUUACCGCAGAUGUACAUGAUAAUCAAUGAAAGAAUGAAGAGAUGAUUAGCCCCGCAUUCGCCAUGAAAUCUGUGGAGUUUUGGUUCUGCUUGGUGUUCUAACAUCAGGUAUAGGCGAUCUGAUUUAAUCUCAUUGGUCUUCUCUGUUUUACAAAAAAAAACAUACCUUUGCAAUUAAUCGAUCUGAUCUCCUUUGCAUUAUGUCGUUGUUUCUCAUCUUCAGUUUUUGCAAAAAAGUCAUCUGAUAUGAUAGAGUUGCAGAUUGGUGUCAAGGUAUGCUGAAAAAGCUCACGUCGUCAAAUUUUGGAUGCAAUUGGUACCAACUUCCAUGGUGAAUUUGAUCUCUCAAUCUGCGUGAUUGGAAGAUGACUCAGUAUUGAGUUGUUCAUUUUUACAAUUCAAGCUUCAGAAAUGUGAUGUUUAGACUCACAAAGGAGACAAUAUCAAGGCCCACUAUCGGAAGUUACGGAUUCGCAAGACUACUUAAGAAGGAAUAGAACAAAGUUAGACAGAGAGUUACAAUCAAGACAUAGUCUAUUUAUUUGAAUCAGUCUUGAGAUGCCAAGUACGAGACAGAGCUGCGUUACGAAGCAAAUGUUACGGGGAUGAUAAGUUAUACUCACAUCGGUGAUUUGUCGUGAAUAUCAGCGUACAAGAGCUGUUUCCGUGGUUUCCGGAGUAAGGAAUCAGAUUUGAUGUGGCUCUGGUCUUACAUACUUAGACACUGGUGUUGUUCGCAAGCAAUACUCACUCUUCUUUUUGUUUGAUACACCGAGGGAUUGUGUUGCUGUUCGUGGUGAUAUUGAAGUAUUGAUUAUUAUUAAGAUUGCCUAGAUGAAGUUUGAGUAUUGGUCUCUCUCUUAUAUGAAUUUCUUUGUAAGUAACUCAGAUGUGUUUUAGUAUGAAGUUUAUGAAAAGUGUGUCCAUACAAAGAUAAUUCAAUGCUACCAGAAGUCAAUGGUAAAAUGUAUGAGUUUACACUAUGUUUCAUAAAAUAUAGCAAUAGAGUAUUACAACUAUGUGCUUGGUGGAGAACACUAUUCUCCUUUGUAUGAAAUUAUAUGAUAGUUACAAAAGAACGAGAUACUAUUCUUAAAUGAUUAACCGAAUCUAUUUUAAGAUAAAAUUUAAGAUGACUUUCGUGCCUCUCUUUGAAUUAUCUAAAAAUAUAUGUUCAUUUGAGAUUUAGUUGCUAAGUUCUGUCUGUACAAAUGACUUAGUAUAAUGUUUUUAGCUUUAGGGUGUUUUUAGCUUGCUAAGUUUUGUCUGCACACAUAACAGAAAGUUCUAAACCACUUAAGCACAAAAAAAAAAAAACAGUAUUUUCAUAAUACGACGAAGGUCAUUGUUCAAAACUGAUUAUAUAUAUUAGCGAACAAUAUAGAUGGUGCAAAUAAAUCAGAAAUAGCUCUAAGACGAGGUGGAACAAAAUUGAUUACAUAUAUCAAAAUAAAUUUACUAAUUCUUGAAAAUCUAAAAAUUUAAUAGUUUUAAACCCCAAUAUAAGCUUUAGAUAAC